GCCAAUGCAAGAGAGUCUCCGGGCUUUUGCGUGCCUUCUGGAGACAAACAAGCCAGACGAGACUUCAGAUCCCGGGGCUGAACUUUGAUAUCAAAGCUGAAAUCUGAAUAAAAAGCAAGACCUAGAGAAGAACUGCCCGGCUCAGGAGGAGAGCUCGCCCUUCAUUCCUGAGGCGCCAGGCGACUACGCCAUCAGCACCAGGAGGAGGCACAGCCUCAGCCCCGCUUGUAAACUGCCCGCUGGACAUCCCCACCUGGGCGCCCCACUGACCUGGGAGCUGUGGCAGCCCACUAACGGGUCUUGUAACCAUCAAAGACUCAAACCCCAAGGAUCUCGAGGCAUGGCUAAAAACAGACCCACUCAACUUGAACCGGGUCCCGCCUCUGGCUCAACCCGCGUUGUUCACACCUUACCCCACCUCAGCCUCUCUCAAUCUGCCUCCUAGCUUUAUCUUCUCCUGGACACUCCAUACUCCAGCUUGCGUGGAGGUGGUCUGCUCACGGAUCCCAAAUCCCCACCCCGCAGUUUCACACGUCUGUGGCUUUUCUCGUGCUCUUCCUCCUCUCCAACACCUCCUUUCACUCUCAAAUUCCUUUGCCUCCUGGAAUCCCACCCACUCGGCAAAGCCGCCUGAAAGUCAGCCAUCUCCGAUCCUGAAGAACCCAAAGCGUGUCUUGGACAUUUCCUGGAUGCUCUUUGCCCUGAGGUUCUUAACCUUGACUGUGCCUUUGACUCCCCUGAAAAGCUUCCCCAUCCCCAGGCUUCUCCCCAGAUCGAUUAAAUCGGAACCUGUGGGGAAGAACCUCCGGUGUUUUUAUAGCUCCCCAGGUGAUUCCAAUAUGCAGUCAAGGUCGAUAACCACUGCGUUGUACCAUUUAUCACUUUCUUCCUUGUAGUUGUAAUUACACCGUAUUUGUCUUAUUCCCACUACUAAAUUUGAAACUCCUUGAGGGCACAGACCAUCUUAUCACAUCUGCUGAUCCCCUGCAGUUCUUAGUGAAUCAGAGAUGCAAUAAAUAUUGUUGAAUUGAACUUGGAAUCUUGAAAUUGACCAUAAACUUCAAUUUCAGAUCUUGCAUACAAUUUUAGAAAAGGAAUCUUAUUAGUGGAGGUCUAAUCUGAAUUAAAAAAAAAAAAGCAAGGUGUUAUUUGCCAUUACCAAAAAAAUAGUCAGAUAGGACUUUGAAAUCAGAAUAGCUCUCAUUAAAGACGAAUGAACCGCAACUACGUGCAUGGCCGAGACUGCCCUUUGCUUUUACACUUUCCUUUCUGAGGCACUCACAAAUAAAAUGAAUAUUCUGGGAUUCUUUGAAAGCUGACUGUCAGAUGUGACUGCGUCGAUGUGCUCAUUUCUAACUGAAAUAAACAAAAGCAGUCGGUAACUCGCACAGUGAUCCGCCUUCCCCAGCUCUGAGACAGAAGGUACCACAAGCAAAACCGCAACGUGAACUUAACACAGAGUAUCUGACCUCCUUUCAAGAACCACAGAAAAUGAAAUGAAAAAUGAGACAAGGAAGACUUGCCAGCCUUUCAUAUGGCUGCAGUUGCUAAGGAAACUGCUUUCUUAGCUUCAACCUGUCCAGUAUAGCCCGUUUCACAUAUUCUUCUG